rnacentral:rRNA from 1 species
UACGUAGGGUCCAAGCGUUAUCCGGAAUCACUGGGCGUAAAGCGUGCGUAGGCGGAUAUUUAAGUGAGACGUGAAAGCGUAGGGCUCAACCCUGUCGUUGUGUCUCAUACUGGGUAUCUGGAGGAAGGCAGAGGCAAGUGGAAUUACGAGUGUAGCAGUGAAAUGCGUAGAUAUUCGUAGGAACACCAAUGGCGAAGGCAGCUUGCUGGGCCUUUUCUGACGCUGAGGUACGAAAGCGUGGGGAGCGAACAGG